GAGCACCUUUCGUUCUCCUUCGGUGGGGCAACCUGCCGUUGGAACCUAUCAAAACCUUUUUUUGCAUUUAGCAUUACCUGUUCUGAUACAAACAAUCGUUACAACUUUCAACAAUGGAUCUCUUGGCUCUGGCAUCGAUGAAGAACGCAGCGAAAUGCGAUAAGUAGUGUGAAUUGCAGAAUUCAGUGAAUCAUCGAAUCUUUGAACGCACAUUGCGCCCCUUGGUAUUCCAUGGGGCAUGCCUGUUCGAGCGUCAUCUACACCCUCAAGCUCUGCUUGGUGUUGGGCGUCUGUCCCGCCUCUGCGCGCGGACUCGCCCCAAAUUCAUUGGCAGCGGUCCUUGCCUCCUCUCGCGCAGCACAUUGCGCUUCUCGAGGUGCGCGGGCCGCGUCCACGAAGCAACAUUACCGUCUUUGACCUCGGAUCAGGUAGGGAUACCCGCUGAACU
rnacentral:rRNA from 1 species